CCUACGGGAGGCAGCAGUGGGGAAUAUUGCGCAAUGGGCGAAAGCCUGACGCAGCGACGCCGCGUGAGGGAUGAAGGUCUUCGGAUCGUAAACCUCUGUCAGCAGGGAAGAACGGUCACUGUGCUAAUCAGUAGUGAAUUGACGGUACCUGCACAGGAAGCACCGGCUAACUCCGUGCCAGCAGCCGCGGUAAUACGGAGGUCGCGAGCGUUAAUCGGAAUUACUGGGCGUAAAGCUCUCGUAGGCGGUAUUUAAAGUCAAGGGUGAAAUCCCCGGGGUCAACGUGGGAACUGCUUUUGAAACUGGCAAACUAGAGUUUGAGAGAGGAUAGUGGAAUUCCAGGUGUAGGGGUGAAAUGCGUAGAUAUCUGGAAGAACAUCAGAGGCGAAGGCGACUAACUGGCACAUAACUGACGCUGAGGAGCGAAAGCGUGGGUAGCAAACAGGAUUAGAUACCCCAGUAGUC
rnacentral:rRNA from 1 species